GUUCGAAUAGUGUAGUGGUUAUCACGCGUCGUUCACACCCCACGUGAACAACAAAUCCGACGAGGUCCCCGGUUCGAUCCCGGGUUCGAACA